UACGUAGGGGGCUAGCGUUGUCCGGAAUCAUUGGGCGUAAAGAGCGUGUAGGCGGUCCGGUAAGUCCGCUGUGAAAGUCGGGGGCUCAACCCUCGAAUGCCGGUGGAUACUGUCGGGCUAGAGUGCGGAAGAGGCGAGUGGAAUUCCUGGUGUAGCGGUGAAACGCGCAGAUAUCAGGAGGAACACCUAUUGCGAAGGCAGCUCGCUGGGACGUAACUGACGCUGAGACGCGAAAGCGUGGGGAGCAAACAGG
rnacentral:rRNA from 1 species